rnacentral:rRNA from 1 species
CCUACGGGCGGCAGCAGUGGGGAAUAUUGGACAAUGGGGGCAACCCUGAUCCAGCCAUGCCGCGUGUGUGAAGAAGGCCCUCGGGUUGUAAAGCACUUUCAGUGAGGAAGAACGCCUGGUGGUUAAUACCCAUCAGGAAAGACAUCACUCACAGAAGAAGCACCGGCUAACUCCGUGCCAGCAGCCGCGGUAAUACGGAGGGUGCGAGCGUUAAUCGGAAUUACUGGGCGUAAAGCGCGCGUAGGUGGCUUGAUAAGCCGGUUGUGAAAGCCCCGGGCCCAACCUGGGAACGGCAUCCGGAACUGUCAAGCUAGAGUGCAGGAGAGGAAGGUAGAAUUCCCGGUGUAGCGGUGAAAUGCGUAGAGAUCGGGAGGAAUACCAGUGGCGAAGGCGGCCUUCUGGACUGACACUGACACUGAGGUGCGAAAGCGUGGGUAGCAAACAGGAUUAGAUACCCCAGUAGUC